GUUUCAGGGAUCCUAGCCCUCUCUCCAGACGCGCUGCUCUGUCCACUGUCCCCGCCUCCAGGACCUGCGUCCUCCCAGCCCCACAUUUGUGCGCAAAGUUGACGGUCACCGGGCCCGCGCGCUUCGGCAUCUCGCGAAGGCGCUGCCCGCGCCCUGAGUCCUUCCCUGGGGCUGUACGUUGGAAAGGACAGAGGUCUCCUCUGCUUCGCAGUUGCAAAAGGCUUCACGUUUUCACCAAGGGGCAGAUGGGGCAGUAGGGGCCCUGGGAGGCCUGGUCCACCAAGGAGGGGGAACCCGCGCGCGCGCGCGCACGCACGUGGCCCGGCGCGCCCGGGAGACCUCCGUGUGAUCACCGCGCGCAGCAGCUCCCGGGCGGAAACACCUCCCCCCUCCACGGGAAAGUGGGCUCAACCGGGGGCGGAAAGCGACACGGCUGGGGGACGACUACGUGCUCCCUUAACCCCCUUCCCGCUGUCAGUAAGGAAGUGGAGAUAAACCGAAGAGAGGCCUUGGAGAAAGGAGCAGGGCGGGGUGAGGGAGUUGUGGGGGGAUUAUUUGAGAGUGAGGUCAAGCUCAAGAGCCCCAGGACCCUCUCAGAUCCCCCGUGCCCGUGGGAACUGCGCGUCCGCCACCGAUCCUGCCCGCGCCGGGUUGAGUUCAGUUUGUGUCUCCGCGCGCUGCGACUUUGCGCGCCUGGGGGCCUCCCAGCUAUUGCCUGGCUAUGCUGGCGGGAAAAGUGUAAGAAACGCUGUUUGCCCUGCAGGAGAAGCCAGAUACGCAUGGGGUGCUUCAGGCUGGGGAAAGGUGCCUGCCUCUGUGGGGUUUUUGGAAUCCCAGGUGGCGCCCUUCCUACAGCCCGGCAGAAGGCAGCCAUGCCUUCAGGUGGGGAAAGAUCUGGAGGUGCGGGUGGGAGGAGGACGAAGCAGGAGGGACACCCGGAUCCGCAAAGGGUCAGAGACCCAGAGCUGUCUUGCUGUGCCAAGUGAGAGGGAAUGCC
rnacentral:lncRNA from 1 species